AGGAUGAACGCUGGCGGCGUGCCUAAUACAUGCAAGUCGAACGAGGUCUUCGGACCGAGUGGCGAACGGGUGAGUAACACGUUGGUACCUACCCCGAAGUGGGAAUAACUGCCCGAAAGGGUGGCUAAUACCGCAUAAUACCGCAAGGUUAAAGCAGUAAUGCGCUUCGGGAGGGGCCUGCGUCCCAUUAGCUAGUUGGUAGGGUAAUGGCCUACCAAGGCGACGAUGGGUAGCUGGAUCGAGAGGUUGACCAGCCACACUGGGACUGAGAUACGGCCCAGACUCCUACGGGAGGCAGCAGUAAGGAAUCUUCCACAAUGGACGAAAGUCUGAUGGAGCAACGCCGCGUGCAGGAUGACGGCCUUCGGGUUGUAAACUGCUUUUAUAUGGGAAGAUUAUGACGGUACCAUAUGAAUAAGGACCGGCUAACUACGCGCCAGCAGCCGC
rnacentral:rRNA from 1 species